AGUGAACGCUGGCGGUAGGCCUAACACAUGCAAGUCGAACGGCAGCACAGUAAGAGCUUGCUCUUACGGGUGGCGAGUGGCGGACGGGUGAGGAAUACAUCGGAAUCUACUUUUUCGUGGGGGAUAACGUAGGGAAACUUACGCUAAUACCUCAUACGACCUACGGGUGAAAGCAGUGGAUCUUCGGACCUUUCGCGAUUGAAUGAGCCGAUGUCGGAUUAGCUAGUUGGCGGGGUAAAGGCCCACCAAGGCGACGAUCCGUAGCUGGUCUGAGAGGAUGAUCAGCCACACUGGAACUGAGACACGGUCCAGACUCCUACGGGAGGCAGCAGUGGGGAAUAUUGGACAAUGGGCGCAAGCCUGAUCCAGCCAUACCGCGUGGGUGAAGAAGGCCCUCGGGUUGUAAAGCCCUUUUGUUGGGAAAGAAAAGCAGCAGGUUAAUACCCCGCUGUUCUGACGGUACCCAAAGAAUAAGCACCGGCUAACUUCGUG
rnacentral:rRNA from 1 species